rnacentral:rRNA from 1 species
CGGACGGGUGAGUAAUGUCUGGGAAACGUGCCUGAUGGAGGGGGAUAACUACUGGAAACGGUAGCUAAUACCGCAUAACGUCGCAAGACCAAAGAGGGGACCUUCGGGCCUCUUGCCAUCGGAUGUGCCCAGAUGGGAUUAGCUAGUAGGUGGGGUAACGGCUCACCUAGGCGACGAUCCCUAGCUGGUCUGAGAGGAUGACCAGCCACACUGGAACUGAGACACGGUCCAG